AUGCAGAAGCUGCCCACUAUGCUCUCGCAGAUCGUGAUUGAUCUUAGCACUGAUGACUUGGUCCGCAUUCACACCGUCGUGGCCAAUGUUACAAACAAGAUCCUCAAUGCAAGGUCUUCGAAGAUCACCAUUCGUAAGCCGAAGCUCAAAUUUUUUUUGAGUCCUUCUCACUGUCUCUCCAUUGGCAAAUGUGUUGGCCUCGCCAUGGCGGACCAGAAAGUGGACUCAGCUGAGUUUGAGAUCUUGACACCCAGGAAUGGUCAUCUUUGCACCGAAGCCUACCGCCUGUUCUUUGCUGACCAGUUCAAUGAUUUUUUUCGUGAUUGCCCAGACGCAUUUGCUGGCCUCACGGGGCUGCAUCUACAAUACAUGAGGUUUGGUGAAUCAGACAUAACCAACAUCCUAAGCUAUUGCAAGCAGCUGGAGUCACUAUCUUUGUUCAUGUGUGACGAGGGGGUCUCUUCGGUGCUGCAUGUAGAACACGCACGACUCGUGGAGCUUGUUAUCUCCUAUUGUGAAUUCAAAACAGUGGAGCUCACCUUUCUACCAAAGCUCCAGCGGAUGACCUUUAAUAGUUGGCCCUCCUGUGCUGAAAAUCCCUUGGCUCUUGGUUUUGUCCCUGAGAUUUCGAAGCUAAACCUUGCCAAGGCAUGUUUUUCACACAAGACACUCAAGCUAAGCCAGCUGCUUGCUAAUGUCCCCUCCGUAAACGAUCUGUCCCUGGAAUUUCGAAGUGAAAAGAUUUGGAUUCAACCAGAAUCCCCGAAAGUGCUUUCACCUUGGCUUGCCAAACUACGGUAUGUGAAUCUGGACAAUCUUCCCGAGUUAUGUGAUAUUGCCUGGACAAUGUUCCUUCUUGAAGCUGCACCGUUUGUGGUGGAGUUUUGCAUCACGGUAUGGGAUCAUAAGUGCCACAUGGAGUCCCAAAAAAGUUACUCCGAGAAAACUGAUGUGAAGUGGGAGCCAUCUGACCCUGAUUUCAAGCAUAAGGAUCUAGCCAAGCUAAACAUAUAUGGCUUUCAGUGCGAUGAUAACUUCACAGGACACAUCAGGCGUGUCAUGGAGGCUGCUGUGAAUAUCAAGGAGGUAUCUCUGCAUGACAGGAAGGUGUGCAAGGUUUGCGCCGUCAAGUUUCCUCAUGUUGAGGUUCGUCCUUCGAGUUAUCCACGGACCAGCGAUGAGAAGGAUUUGUUGAGAAAUAAGAUGACAGAGACGUUGCCGAAGGCUUCUCCUGCUGUGAUUCACUUCCUAUCAUAA
rnacentral:rRNA from 1 species